rnacentral:rRNA from 1 species
AGUGAACGCUGGCGGUAGGCCUAACACAUGCAAGUCGAACGGCAGCACAGUAAGAGCUUGCUCUUACGGGUGGCGAGUGGCGGACGGGUGAGGAAUACAUCGGAAUCUACUUUUUCGUGGGGGAUAACGUAGGGAAACUUACGCUAAUACCGCAUACGACCUACGGGUGAAAGCAGGGGAUCUUCGGACCUUGCGCGAUUGAAUGAGCCGAUGUCGGAUUAGCUAGUUGGCGGGGUAAAGGCCCACCAAGGCGACGAUCCGUAGCUGGUCUGAGAGGAUGAUCAGCCACACUGGAACUGAGACACGGUCCAGACUCCUACGGGAGGCAGCAGUGGGGAAUAUUGGACAAUGGGCGCAAGCCUGACCCAGCCAUACCGCGUGGGUGAAGAAGGCCUUCGGGUUGUAAAGCCCUUUUGUUGGGAAAGAAAAGCAGCAGGUUAAUACCCCGCUGUUCUGACGGUACCCAAAGAAUAAGCCCCGGCUAACUUCGUG